rnacentral:rRNA from 1 species
AGAGUUUGAUCCUGGCUCAGAUUGAACGCUGGCGGCAUGCUUUACACAUGCAAGUCGAACGGCAGCGCGGGGCAACCUGGCGGCGAGUGGCGAACGGGUGAGUAAUACAUCGGAACGUACCCAGAAGUGGGGGAUAACGUAGCGAAAGUUACGCUAAUACCGCAUACGUUCUACGGAAGAAAGUGGGGGACCGCAAGGCCUCAUGCUUUUGGAGCGGCCGAUGUCUGAUUAGCUAGUUGGUGAGGUAAAGGCUCACCAAGGCGACGAUCAGUAGCUGGUCUGAGAGGACGACCAGCCACACUGGGACUGAGACACGGCCCAGACUCCUACGGGAGGCAGCAGUGGGGAAUUUUGGACAAUGGGCGCAAGCCUGAUCCAGCAAUGCCGCGUGAGUGAAGAAGGCCUUCGGGUUGUAAAGCUCUUUUGUCAGGGAAGAAACGGUUGGGGCUAAUAUCCCCGGCUAAUGACGGUACCUGAAGAAUAAGCACCGGCUAACUACGUG